GUGUGCUUUCAGUACGUGUGGGACCUGAUGCUGGGGGGCUCCUAGCACAAGAACAACUGGACGCGAGAGGGAGUGUCUGUGCCUCAUCGCCACCCUCAACGCAUAUGGCGCCCAGGGUCUCACCCUCAGCAAGAUCGUCCCCCACAUAUGCAGCCUUUUAGGAGACCCCACCAGCCAGGUGAGAGAUGCAGCCAUGACGUGUCUGGUGGAGAUCUACAGGCACGUGGGGGAGAGGGUGAGGACGGACCUCAGCAAGAAGGGACUCCCCCAAUCAAGGUACUAACAAGACAUGGAGACGCAAGUGUGUGUGUGUGGUUGUGUUGGUUGUGUUGGUGUGUGAGUGGUUGUGUGGUUGUGCGCACGGUUAUUGAUUCACACAGGUGGCUCACUGUGAAGUAUUCAUAGCAUUUCAGCACAGUGUCAUUCCGGUAGCAGCAUGCAUCAUUUGCCUGUCAAUAAAUUGAUGUGAACCGAAGAGCUAGAUAGACUUUAGACUUUAGCAACCCCCUCCCCCUUGUUCACCACCAGCACAACC